rnacentral:rRNA from 1 species
AUGACAUACCAAGUACCCAUCAUAAACUCUCAUCUCUUGCAUUACAUUAUUCGCCAUUCGCCUCUCGUUUUCCUCUCCCCCACUUCUAAAACAAUUUUCGAAAAGAUUUGCCUUUUCUUCGCCCCUCUUCCGUUCAUCUUCUUUGUUUGCUUUUUUUGUGCCCAUGGGUUGGUGUGUCUGCUUGUCUUUAUGGCUCAACCUAAGAACGUUGAUCCUCACUUUAGGAGGUUGGAAGAAAUUGAAAAUAAUGUUAGGAUCUUCAUGUCUUUACAAUUUGAGCAUAACAGUUUCUUUAGAAACAAGCUUAAGGAACAAAAAAGUUCUAUGGAGUACAUGAAUAAAGAGCUCGAUGAUAUGUCUAAGGAAUUUUAUGGUUUGAAAUCUCAGAUUGCUCAUCUUGAAAAUUUAGUAGGCCAAAUUUCUGAUAAACAAACUACCUUAGUAAAUAAGAUGGCCGCUAAACCAGAGUCUUUAAAUAAUGAUGAAGAUCUUAAAGUGAUUGAUGUGACUCCUAUUGAAUCUUUGUUUUCCAAUAUAAAUCUUGAUAAAGAUGGGACUGGAGAUGAGUCAACUUUAGUUAAAAGGUGUCCCAAUAAUUCGAAGUUUUUAGAUCUUGAUGCAAAAAUUGAUAAAAGUGGGAUUGGAGAGGUCAAAACUUUAAGUAGCAAUGAACCCACUUUUUUGGAUUUCAAGGAAUUUAAUUAUGAUAAUUGUUAUUUAAUAGAUUGUAUUUCCUUAUUGCAAUCCAUGUUGAAUUCUCGUCAUGCUUAUAAUCAAAAUAAAGCUUUUACUAAACAUAUCGUUGAUGCUAUGAUGCAAUCUUUUGAAGAAAAGCUUGAAUUGGAAGUUUCUAUCCCUAGAAAACUUUAUGAUGUGUGGGAACCUACUAUUAAGAUUAAGAUGUAA